rnacentral:rRNA from 1 species
ACUCAAAUGAAUUGACGGGGACCCACACAAGCGGUGGAACAUGGGGUUUAAUUCGAUAAUAAACGAAGAACCUUACCCAGGCUUGACAUCUAAAGAAUUUGGUCGAAAGAUCGAAGUGCCGCAAGGAACUUUAAGACAGGCGAUGCACGGUCGUCGUCAGCUCGUGCCUUGAGGUGUACUGUUAAGUCAGCGAACGAGCGCAACCCUCAUCCUAUGUUGUUUUUUCAUAGGAGACUGCCGCCUCCAAGGCGGAGGAAGGUGGGGAUGACGUCAGAUCAGCGUGUCCCUUAUGCCUGGGGCUACACCCAUGUUACAAUGGUCGAUACAACGGGCAGCGAACCCGCAAGGGGGAGCCAAUCCCAUCAAAGUCGAUCUCAGUUCGGAUUGCCGGCUGCAACUUGCCGGCAUGAAGUUGGAAUCGCUAGUAACCGUGAAUCAGCGAUGUCACGGUGAAUAUGUUCCUGGGUCUUGUACACACCGCCCGU